rnacentral:rRNA from 1 species
GACGAACCGUGCGAACGUUGUUCGGAAUCACUGGGCUUAAAGGGCGCGUAGGCGGCUUGCCAAGUCCGGGGUGAAAUCCUCCAGCUUAACUGGAGAAGUGCCUUGGAUACUGGCGAGCUCGAGCGAGGCAGGGGUGAUGGGAACUUCCGGUGGAGCGGUGAAAUGCGUUGAUAUCGGAAGGAACGCCGGUGGCGAAAGCGCAUCACUGGUCCUCUUCUGACGCUGAGGCGCGAAAGCGUGGGGAGCAAACAGG